UCACUCAGAAGGAAACAACUGUAGACUUACAACUCUUCAUAAAUACACUCUCCAAAAUAGGUACUUGGUGCUAUCAGUUUCUACGAACUUGCUUGCAAGAUCCCUUAUGCAUAGUCAGCUUUUGUUGGGAUGGGCAGGCACUGAACUGGCUCCUAAUUCUUCAAUAACAGAAUAACAUUUGUAUUUAGGAUUGAAAGACUGAGCAGAUUUACAGUUUACCUUUCUCCACCUCCCUUUUGGGGCACUAUUAGAGAACUCAUUUAGUGUCAACUAAAGGUUCCAUCUAUUACUUGUAUUAUUUUCUCAAGGUCUUAAUUUAGAACUUUUGAAGCUAUGUCGUUGCCUGUCAUCCAACGUGUUUCUAUUAAAUCACUUAUGUUAACUCCUCCUUGGUGGUGCUAUCUCAGACUAGUUCAGAAGCCUGGAAACUGAAGUCCCGUUGUUACCAUGACAAGUUGGAUCCAACUAGGAGGUUAUCCAACUGAAUUCUAUCAAAAAUGAAAGGUAUAGAUUCUUCGUGUGAAAAAAUAAGAGUUGACAGGUUAAGUCAACAGUAUGAAUAGCAUUCAUAAGGACAGGAUAAGAAAAGGCAUAUGCUCAAUGGAGUGCUCAACAGAAGGGUGCAUGUUGAACAGCAACAGUGACCCAAACAAAACUUUGGUCCAGGUAAAGUGAAUUAUGGAAUAUGGAGCAAGUACUGUCACCGGGCAUUUGGCAUCAAAAAGAGCAAAUUUCUGAGACAAGAAGUCUCGUAGCAGCCUCGUGAGUUAGAAGAGCUAGUUUCUCUUUUCCAUGUGGUAGGAGGUUCCACCAAGGUUCAGGUUGUAGGAGCUUCUUGUGCUGCUUCAACAUAAGGUGACUGUACACUAUCCUCAUCAGAAUCACUCCCAGAAGAACUUCCUGAAUCUGUAAAUAUUAACCAUGGCAAAAGUAAAUAUACCAUCACACUUGUUAACCAGAAUGAACUAAAGAAAGAAAAAGUUAUACCACCGGAAGAAGAACCACUGCCAGAACUUGAGCCGCUAGAGCUGCUUGGAUCCUUGUCGAUCUGCACAGGAGGAAAGUUUUCACCUGGUAUUUCCUCACCAAUAUCAACAUCCUCCUCCACAACGUCCACUUUCUUGAUUUCAGGCAUUGCAUGUUCUGGUGUUGGUGCCUUCUCAGGCGACUUAUUUACAAAAAGCAACAUGGUGAUCAGCACACAUGGCACAAUAUAGAGUUACUUAACAAAUGUAUG